rnacentral:rRNA from 1 species
GACGAACGCUGGCGGCGUGCUUAACACAUGCAAGUCGAACGAUGAACCGGGUGCUUGCACUUGGGGAUUAGUGGCGAACGGGUGAGUAACACGUGAGUAACCUGCCCUGGACUCUGGGAUAACCCCGAGAAAUCGGAGCUAAUACCGGAUAGGACCUUUCCCCGCAUGGGGUUUGGUGGAAAGUUUUUCGGUCUGGGAUGGACUCGCGGCCUAUCAGCUUGUUGGUGAGGUAAUGGCUCACCAAGGCGUCGACGGGUAGCCGGCCCGAGAGGGUGACCGGCCACACUGGGACUGAGACACGGCCCAGACUCCUACGGGAGGCAGCAGUGGGGAAUAUUGCACAAUGGGCGAAAGCCUGACGCAGCAACGCCGCGUGGAGGAUGAAGGCCUUCGGGUCGUAAACUCCUGUCGAUGGGGACGAAAAAAAUGACUGUACCCGUUGAGGAAGCCACGGCUAACUCCGUGCCAGCAGCCGCCGUAAAAC